GCUGCUAAUUAAGCCAUAGCUGUCUGUUUUCUUUGAGAAUCAAAGAAUUGCAGCAAGUCUUUUAGGUUUUCAAUGAAAUUUCCUUGUUUUUCAGAUAAUCCGUAUAGAGUGGCACCUUAACCACCACUGGUGAAAUAGAAGAUGACUAGUGGAUGGUCAUCACUUUGCAGCUCACUUUCACUUUCUGCAGCCCAUCUCUUCUCAUCCACAAUCAUUGUCUUUGGAGGAAUGGUGACAGUGCAGUCCUCAUGGCUGGGCAGGUCUACUGCAUGUUGACAGCUGAUACUUGUUCUCUAUUUGCUCCGAGAGGCCUACUACACAUUACCUCAGUUAUGAUUGUACUCGUGCUGGCUUCUAUGAUGUUAAUUUCCUUUACCUGCACUGCGUUAAACUUGGUCAAUUCUGUUACUGUCGCUCACCAACAGAUGAAAAUAAGAUUUAGCUGAUCCUGCCAACAUUGUGACAUAAGCGGUCCAAUGUCCAAUAUCUCACUCUGCAGUCAAACAUCAUUUUUUUUAUGAACGCUCAGUAAAACAUUGGAAAUGUUAGACUUUUUUAGUAUUGAUUUAUAUAGUUAUAUUUUUUUAAAGUAAUAACAAUUCUUUUUAUUGAUGUAUGUUUAAGUAUGCAAAAAUGAACAUUGAUGAUAUUUAUCUUCUGAAUAAAAUUUUAUAUCGAUAA